UAUCGGAACGUACCCUGGAGUGGGGGAUAACGUAGCGAAAGUUACGCUAAUACCGCAUACGAUCUAAGGAUGAAAGUGGGGGAUGCGCAAGCACCUCAUGCUCCUGGAGCGGCCGAUAUCUGAUUAGCUAGUUGGUGGGGUAAAGGCCUACCAAGGCAUCGAUCAGUAGCUGGUCUGAGAGGACGACCAGCCACACUGGAACUGAGACACGGUCCAG
rnacentral:rRNA from 1 species